rnacentral:lncRNA from 1 species
CCAUGUAUACAAGCCCCAAGACAAGCGGUUAUGUCAGGUUUAGUGUUGGAAAUCAGCUUUGGUUACUUCAUACGGUCAAGGCAAGUGUGUAGUUGAUAGGUUGAUCUGCAUUAGCAUCUAUAGUGCUAUCUGCAAUCAGUAAAUCUAAAAUGGUGCUAAAGAUUGGUUAGAUAUUCAAGUUUAAAUCAAUAUAAGAUCAUAGUCCCAUUUUCAAUAGCUAAGCAUAAUUUUUAAAAUUCCUUUUAUAUAAUUAUAAAAUAAAUUAUAUCAGUAAAUCUCCCCCCAGACUUAAACUACACUGUCCCAGUGUAACUCAGUCGGAGUUAUGAUGGAAUAAUUCAUAAGUACGAAAUGUAACAAGUAAGGAAGAUACAUCUGACCGGAUUAGAUAUCGAUCGAUGUGAAAAUGUUGCAUCGAUCGUCGUGUGUUUGUCUAUGUCGAGCGAUGUCGACAUCUCGUCGGCGGUCGAUAUUCAGGUCCUCCUACUUGGGUCUCCUAAAUCUGAAAGAAAUAAAAAAAAAGUAAAUAAAUGCUAGCUAAUAAAACCAAAAUAAAAUACCUAAUAGUGGGUUGCCUCUCACUCAACGCUUGGUUAUAGUCAUUUAGCUUGACUGUGGUAGUGAUUGGCUAUUUGGUGGAUAAACAGCUGCUUGUUGGAAAACAAGCAUCCACGUCAUCUCUGCACAUUCUGGACCAAGAUGCAAUGAAACUUCUU